AUUGAACGCUGGCGGCAGGCCUAACACAUGCAAGUCGAGCGGAGCUGCGGACGGGGGCGGAAUGCCUAGGAAUGUGCCUGGGAGUGGGGGAGAGCGUUCAGAAACGGAAACUAAUACCAAAUACUCUCAGAAGAGCCUAGGUCGGAUUAGCUAGAUGGUGGGGUCAAGGCCUACCAAGGCGACGAUCCGUAACUGGUCUGAGAGGAUGAGCAGUCACACUGGAACUGAGACACGGUCCAGACUCCUACGGGAGGCAGCAGUGGGGAAUAUUGGACAAUGGGCGAAAGCCUGAUCCAGCCAUGCCGCGUGUGUGAAGAAGGCCUUCGGAUUGUAAAGUACUUUAAGCUGGGAGGCGUUACCCACAGAAGAAGCACCGGCUAACUCCGUGCCAGCAGCCGCGGUAAUAC
rnacentral:rRNA from 1 species